rnacentral:rRNA from 1 species
UGGGGAAUUUUGGACAAUGGGCGAAAGCCUGAUCCAGCAAUGCCGCGUGUGUGAAGAAGGCCUUCGGGUUGCUGAUAAGCACUUUUGUCCGGAAAGAAAUCCUUGGCUCUAAUACAGUCGGGGGAUGACGGUACCGGAAGAAUAAGCACCGGCUAACUACGUGCCAGCAGCCGCGGUAAUACGUAGGGUGCAAGCGUUAAUCGGAAUUACUGGGCGUAAAGCGUGCGCAGGCGGUUUGCUAAGACCGAUGUGAAAUCCCCGGGCUCAACCUGGGAACUGCAUUGGUGACUGGCAGGCUAGAGUAUGGCAGAGGGGGGUAGAAUUCCACGUGUAGCAGUGAAAUGCGUAGAGAUGUGGAGGAAUACCGAUGGCGAAGGCAGCCCCCUGGGCCAAUACUGACGCUCAUGCACGAAAGCGUGGGGAGCAAACAGGAUUAGAUACCCUGGUAGUCCACGCCCUAAACGAUGUCAACUAGUUGUUGGGGAUUCAUUUCCUUAGUAACGUAGCUAACGCGUGAAGUUGACCGCCUGGGGAGUACGGUCGCAAGAUUAAAACUCAAAUGAAUUGACGGGGUCAUAGCUGUUUCCU